AUACGGAGGGUGCAAGCGUUACUCGGAAUCACUGGGCGUAAAGCGCGCGCAGGCGGCACGGCGCGUCGUCGGUGAAAGACCCGGGCUCAACCUGGGAAACGUCGACGAUACGGCCGAGCUAGAGGAUGCGAGGGGCUGAUGGAACUCACGGUGGAGGGGUGGAAUCCGUUGAGAUCGUGAGGAACACCAAAGGCGAAGGCAUUCAGCUGGCGCAUUACUGACGCUGAGGGAUGAAAGCGUGGGGAGCGAAUGGGAUUAGAAACCCUUUUAGUCC
rnacentral:rRNA from 1 species